ACAGACAUCGAAAGACCGUAUUUCUUUAGCUUGUUUGGAUGAUUUAACCGAUUCUUACUUGUGUAAAAGUGCGAUACAUGUUUUUCUGUUAAAUACCCUCUGUUUGUUUGGAUAAUUCUACAGGAACCGUCAACAGCGGACUUGAAUAGAUGAUGUGCGAGAUCAUAAAAUGGAAUGCCUGCACUCAUGCGUCAUCACGGUAUAAAGGAUUUCAACUUAAAAAGAAACCCUGAACAUUUGCAGCUGUACAGAAUGCAGUUCAUGCCAUAUGCUGUUAGAGUAAAUGAUGAAAGAUGUUCAAACCACUAUCAAAGAGUCCUAAGUCUAAAAUCAUGGUGCU